AUUGAACGCUGGCGGCAUGCUUUACACAUGCAAGUCGAACGGUAACAGGCCGCAAGGUGCUGACGAGUGGCGAACGGGUGAGUAAUGCAUCGGAACGUGCCCAGUCGUGGGGGAUAACGCAGCGAAAGCUGCGCUAAUACCGCAUACGAUCUAUGGAUGAAAGCGGGGGACCGUAAGGCCUCGCGCGAUUGGAGCGGCCGAUGUCAGAGUUAGGUAGUUGGUGGGGUAAAGGCUCACCAAGCCGACGAUCUGUAGCUGGUCUGAGAGGACGACCAGCCACACUGGGACUGAGACACGGCCCAGACUCCUACGGGAGUCAGCAGUGGGGAAUUUUGGACAAUGGGGGCAACCCUGAUCCAGCAAUGCCGCGUGCAGGAAGAAGGCCUUCGGGUUGUAAACUGCUUUUGUACGGAACGAAACGGCUCUGGUUAAUACCUGGGGCUAAUGACGGUACCGUAAGAAUAAGCACCGGCUAACUACGUGCCAGCAGCCGCCGUAA
rnacentral:rRNA from 1 species